rnacentral:lncRNA from 1 species
GUUCUAAUUUUAUUUUUUUUAAUUAUUUAUUUUUGUAAAAAAAUCUAAUUUAUUUAUGAAAUUAAAUUUUUUUUGGAAGAUGUUAGCACCAUAAAUUAUCAAAAAUAUCUAAAAUAAAUAUAAAAAUAUAUGACUUAUCACACUUCUUAACUUGAUCUUUGUUCGUCCUCGAGUAAAGAAAGAAUUUAGAAUUAAGUAUUAUUUAACUUAGAGUUUCUAAUUUUAUCAGAUAAUUUUUAAAAAGGCCACUAAUGUUCAGUAGAGCGUGAGUAAGGUAUGUCAUUAGGGUAUUCAUACUAAUCAAUGUGAAAGUUAAGCCAAGAAUACUAAAUUUUUUUUGAACCUUUUUUAAAUUAUCCCUACCUUUAUCUCUAAAUCAUUAAUCUUCACAUGGACAAGUAUAUUGUUACUUCCAUCUUUCAUUUAUUAAUUUUUUUUAUAUUUUUUUUAAUAUUGUACUGCUAUUGAGUAUCUUAAUCCCUUAAGCUUUCUGUAUGACGCAUGUAUCAUAUUUUCAGCCAAUGACUUCUGAAUCAGAUGGCUUUAGAGCAUCAGAUAUAGAAUACUCCUCGGACUUACUUGCUCGAAUUAAACAGACUACGAGUUAAAAUUAAUUUUAUAACAAAAUUUCUUUAUCCUUCAUAUCUUUUGAUAUGAAGCUCAAUGCUUACUUAAAUAAAGAAGCCCGGUUACUCAGCAUGAAGUACUUGAAAACUCUUUUCUCUCUCUUUUAUAUAUGUAUAUGAAGAAACAUAUAAUUAUCCUACAUAAGCUCAUAGAAAGUAAACUCUUCUUUGAUACUGGUAGGAAUAUUUAGAAAUGCUCAAAGAA